rnacentral:tRNA from 1 species
GUUGAUAUGGCUGAGACUAGGCGGUAAACUGUAAAUUUAUUUAGGAGAUUUAUUUCUCUUUCAACA